CAAGCAAUUCUCCUGCCUCAGCCUCCCGAGUAGCUGGGAUUACAGGUUGCUCUGGCUAGAACUUCUGCAGUGCAGCUUUGAGAAAGCCUCUGAGGUGCUGGGUCUGGGGCAUGGUAGAGAGAUCCAUGUAACAGGAAGAAAGAAAGUGCAGCCCAGGUCCAUGCCUGAGUCUCUUGGUGAGACACAGAAUCCUUCCAGCAGACUGGAGUGACCAGAAAUGCCCCGAAAGAGGGUAGCCCUGCCUCUGGUUCCAGUCUGCAGUCUGCACCUCGCCGAGCUUACUGUCUGUCUCUCCCACCUUGUCUCAGCCUUUGCUUCCAGUCUGCAGUCUGCACCUGGCUGAGCUUUACUGUCCCUGUCUCCCCCACCUUGUCUCAGGCGCUGCACAAUAGAGGUUCAGAAGCUGAUUGGAGCUGGUACUGGGACCGGGAACAAAAAGAGACAGAAACUUGUGAACAUGACCCAGCAAUAAGGGGUUGGGGAAGGUGAGCAGGGAUUCCAGGUUCUGUGAAUGGGGUCCACCAGAGUAAACGGAUUGUGUCCAAGAUGAGUUA